GAAAUAUAUAUAUUAGAAAUUUAAAAAUGGUAAAGAAAUAAUAUGACGGAUAUAGUCUGGGAGUACAUAAGAGCUAAAUAGCAGUUGGUGUGAUUGACUUAUUCGGCUAACUACAUGGUAGUUGGAAAAUAAGUCAAAAAAUUUCGGCCCUUUUUUUGUUUCUUUAUAGAGGAAAGAUUGUGUGAUCCAAUAAAGAUAACGAUGUGCUAAGGAUUAAAACUUCUCAAAUGAGUUAGUCAUCAAAAUUUUUAUUAUUGUUAUUUACGCAUUGGAAGAAUUUUUUAGUUGCGUCUCUAUCUAUUACUGUUUAUUAUAAUAUCCUGAGCAUAGAUAAUGAUAUGCAUUGUUAAUAAGUUUAAUCUAAUUUUUAGCUGUUAACAAACAAGGAUGUUGUGGAAACGAAUCAAGGAAAGAUAAGAGUUUAAAAAAAAGACCAAAAAUCUCAGUAUUUACGAGUUAAUCAUCUCAAUUGGAAGUUAAUUUAUUUCUUCCUUUUGGUACAUUGUUUUGGCAAAUUAUUUAAUCAAUUCAAAUAACUCAGCUGACAUAAAAAGACCAAUGAAUAGGGUUAAUAUAGAAUAGUCCAAACUUGUUCAACAAAUCAAGGAUAUCACACCUCAAUGUCUUUUGGAACAGUUGAAUUUUUCUACCGUUGCUUAAUAUUCAAAAAGAUGUCUGCCUCACAAUGGUAAACUGCCAACGAAAUUUUUUUCUCUCUCUAGGUAUAUAAAUUCUUAUAUAUAUGUAUCUCUCAUUGACAUUUCUUUAACCGAAGCCUUUGCAUGAACGUGCCGUUACCCAAAAUCAGUUAGAAGUUAGCCAACUCUGGGCCAAUUAUUCCCAAAUAUGGAACUAUUAUUUAAAAAGUGUUGACAGCUUAACAUGAGCUAAUUAUGAUUCAACCAAUAAACGUUCAGGGAGCAAGCAGAAACCAAAUCUUCUGUUUAGCGAAAAAGAAGCAGAAACAUCUACAGCGGACAAAGACAAAUUACACUGUACAUUUUGUGUUAGUGAGGUGCGUUGAAUAUUACUUCAUAACUAACUAUGCAAUCUCGAUGAAUUUACCUUUUUAACCCUGAAUGAACAAGAUAAAUUAUGCAUUGGGGAAGCAAAAGUUGCAAACAGCAUAAGAAAAAAUGAUAAAGUGACGUAAUCUGUACUGCUAUAAUAAAAAGUAGAAAAAUCAUAUCACUACGACCAUAUAUCUCCUGAAGCUAUAAUACGCGUUUCGCCACUUUGUUUUAAAUCUUUGCUUCAAACGAAGGAAGAGGGAAGAGGAAAAAAGAUAUUAAUAUAUUGAAACUCAGUGUUUCCAUGCGGAACUUUUGUACAAUAUAUUAAUUUUUUUAAGAAAAUUGUUUGUUUUUCAUGAAGAAAGACUCAAUCAUUCGCUUUCCCAUAAAAAGAUAACAUGUGGUUCAAAUUCCUCAGGGAAAUUGUUUUUAACUUUUGAGGUGGCAAAUGGUAUUUUAAGGGUUAAAAAUGAAAAAUAGGAUUUUUUCUUAACAUACAUAAUUUAACUAAAGAUUGAAACAUACCUUGUCACGUCUUUUUUCAAUUUUCUUCCUCCAUUGAAAUGCUAUUAUUUAUAAAGAUUUCUUUAUAUCGAAUUCCUCAAGUGUUGGGUACUACGUCAUAGAAGAGAAAAGUUAAAUUGAUGUUGGUUGUGUUAAUAUGUAUUUGUUCAACUUCAAUAUAAAGAAGACCUUCAGAAUAAUAAUUUCUUAAAAAAGGAAUAAAAUUGAAAAAAGUUGUGGCAAUGUCUGUAUCAACCUUAUGAAAAAAAUUAUUGUUUUCUUUUCUCAGAUUGUUGUUCUUCAUUUACCUUCGAGCUACUGCGUUUCGGGGUAAUUCACUAGGAGAGGGACAUUUGAACCCAACAACAGAUUCUGAUUGAUUGGCGCAUUCAUAAACAUUGUCAGGAAACUCACAUACAUGUUUUUCAGGAUCAUAAGCAAGUCCUUUAUGACACGCAGUUUCAUAUGCUGUUCCAU
rnacentral:lncRNA from 1 species